GUGAUUUUUAGUCUCCCACCUUCUCAAUUCUCAUUCCCUACUCCAACUUCCCCCGAACCAAACAGGCUGGCAUAGUAUACGCAACCACAGCCCACGGGUACCUCCCCGCCGCCCCCAACAGCCGCCAUGGCCUCCGAGGCUCGCAAGACCGCCGCUGCAGCGCGCCCGCCUCCCCGCGACUUCCUCGCCGACCUCGAGGCCUACCUGGCCCGCCGCGACGGUGUCGACAAGCUCCUCAAGAUCUCCCGCUACGCCGCGCGCCUCGCCCUCGCCGCAGGGCCGCUGCCCCCGCCGGCCUCCGCGCGCCUCAAGUCCUUCGAGUCCAGCCUCGGCCUCAGCCGCAAGGCCUUCCGCCUGGGCAAGUUCGUCCAGGACGUCAACGCCCUCCGCGCGCACCCCGGCCCCCUCCCUCCGCCCUUCGUGCUCCUCGCCUACGGCGGCGAGGGCGUCUACUACUUCAUCGAGCAGUUCGUCUGGCUCGCGAAAGCUGGCCUCCUCCCGGCGCACCUCCUCCCCCGCCUCCAGUGUCUCAGCGCCUGGGCCGAGCUGCUGGGCUACGUCGGCUCCAUCACCAUCAAGCUGGAAGAAGUGACGAAGAUGGAGUCUUCAAUCAAGAUGCGGCGGGCGGAGGGUUGUGGGGAGGAGAACCAGGCGGUGACGACGAUGCGGGGGAAGCUGCUGCUGAAGCGUCUGUCCGUUGUGCAGGACGUGGCGGAUGCCUUCAUGGCGCUAGGGGACGUGACUAACGGGAAGGGGUUGCUCGGUAGCUCCACGCUGACGGCGUCCGCCGGAUUGCUGUCGGCGCUGAUCAGCACGCACAAGAACUGGAAUUCUUGCUGAAGUCCCAAGGCCUCUUGACCCUCUGCUACCAGGGGCGAGGUGUGAGUGACGUAGGGAGAAGUAGGUACUACGGAGCUGUAAGCAAUUCUGCCCCAUGAUUGAUUGCCAUAUAGGCGUUGUCAUUGGUGUUUAAAUCAGCCAACCUGCUGCAUAAGUUCUGCAAAUCGUUGUUCCAGCUGGCCAACUUGGCAUUGUUGGUCCCAAAUGCAGAGAUGCUUCAGGUCCGGCUUUGCUUUAGAUUAUAUGAACUGUUAGAAAUAGUUUCAGAUUGAGAUGAAAGAACCUUACCGCUUUCUUAUCCAAUGGAUCUUGAGAACAAAAAGCUUGUAGUUAGGUAGAUGGCUGUGAAAGCACGUCCUGUGUCCCAGCUCUAUGUAACACGGUCGUGGAGGCAAAGACAUUGUUCAGGUGAUCUGUUUUCAGCCCACUGUUGAGGCCUGAAAACAUAUAGCUGUAAAAGCAUAUUAGUAUCUGCUUA